AUAAUAAUACUGCACAAAGUCUUUCUUCUGAAGAUAUUGAUGCAAUGAAAAGGGAAGGUGCAACUGGUGAUGAAAUAGUUGAAGCUCUCAUAGCUAACAGUUCAACCUUUGAAAAGAAGACAACACUUUCACAAGAGAAAUAUAAGGUUAAGAAGCAGAAAAAAUAUGCACCCAAAGUACUCCUUAGGCGUCCCUGCUCUAGAAGUAUAUGUGAAGCAUAUUUCAAGAAAUAUCCUACUCGAAUAGGGUAAGGAAUGCUCGGAAUUCUGUUAUUGUUAUGUGCUCAACUAUCUUCUUUUUUUGUUUUCAUCUCUUGUUUAAAACUACAAUGUAAUUGAACAUGCUUUUCCA